UGGUUGCUCCUGUGCUUCAGCGGGACUAGAAGCUGCCGCCCACGGGCAGCGGGGAAGAAAUCUGGGCAAAGCCAUGAGCCCUCCGAGGCUGAGCUCCAGUUGAGGGGCUCACCUGCCUUGCAUCGUUCCGAGUCCUGUACUGGACUGCAUCAGGCUGCGUCUCCUCAGGGUGACAGAAACCAGGCAGUGAUUCAACUCGUAUUUGACUUUCACAUUCUCCAGCAAUGUUCUUCAAUCUGGGAAGGGUAGAAAAUUAAAGAAAGGCAAGGAGAGUUAAAAAAUGAGAUCAUUUCAAAGUAGAUGCAGUCUUGAAGCCCAAAUGAAUGACAAGAUCCAGUUUGAAAGCUGCUGCAGAAGUGAUUUCAGAAUCGCGCGGUGGCCCCGGAAUGGGGAACUGCUGCUGAAAGAGGUCGGAAAGGGUGGGGACUGAAUUUCGGGUAAGAGGACGCCAGUGGUUCAGCCAUGCCUGCGUUCACAAGUACAUUAUUUCAGACUCACUCCAAGUUUACAUCUCUAAGCCCAUCCAAGCCAUGGCAGCACGAACCUCUCCCUCCCCCAGCUCAAGGCCUCUGGGCCCCCAGGACAGAGGACAGAAGAGCCAGCCCCUCCUGGCUCAGGGUUGCCGGGACCCCGUGAUGGCUGCUGUGCCUCUCCUGAGGUGCCAG
rnacentral:lncRNA from 1 species